GUAACCUUUCCCUAAGUUGUGACCAUUGUUGUGACCACUGAGGUUGUGACACGCGUCGACGUCGUCCCCAUCACCGCCAUCGCCAUCACGUUUUCUUUCGCACAUGUACGAACUCUAUGCAUGUACGCACAUUGCGCAUUGCGCACAUGUUUGGACCAGUCGUGGUUUGAUAUUGAGGUUUGGUCCUGCCAGGCCCAACGCUGCCAGCAGCGACGUUUGUCCGCCGCUUUUUAUCUGACGUAUGUGUACAUACUUACGUUGACCGCUGUUGGGUGUUGUGUGGUGGAUGUUCUCUGGCUGUGUCGCGUACAACAAGAACGGUAGAAGAGUUUCUGAACUCCGAUCGCCUCGGCAGUGCGCCAUUUGCCAGCAAAGUCGCGUUUUCCUAAACCCAUAGUUCAUACCGUGUCGUCUGGCAUGGACGUAGACCACUGUUGGGUGCUGUGUCGCGUACAUACAACAAGAACCGUGGAAGAAUUCCUGAACCCUGUCCGCCCCGCCAGUAGGCCAUUGGCCAGCAAAGGCACACAGCGAUCGGACUGAGCAUAUCAAGUAGCCCCUCCUGUGACC
rnacentral:lncRNA from 1 species